AUAUUAAUAAGCGGAGGAAAAGAAACUAACAAGGAUUCCCUCAGUAACGGCGAGUGAAGCGGGAAGAGCACAAUUUUGAAAUCCGGGUGCUUUUUGCACUUCGGAGUUGUAGCCUACAGACGUGUUUUCUGUCGCACCUUUGGGUUAAAUCCCUUGGAAUGGGGUAUCAUAGAGGGUGAAAAUCCCGUCUCUGACCAAAGGCUUAAUGCGGCUCUGUGAUGCAUGCUCGAAGAGUCGCGUUGUUUGGGGAUGCAGCGCAAAUUGGGUGGUAAAUUUCAUCCAAAGCUAAAUAUUGGCGAGAGACCGAUAGCGAACAAGUACCGUGAGGGAAAGAUGAAAAGAACUUUGAAAAGAGAGUUAAACAGUAC
rnacentral:rRNA from 1 species